UAAUUUUUGAAAAUAUAAAAAUAUUUUUAGGUUCCUAGGGGAUAAAAACAGAAAACAACAACAAAAAAACAACCCAACCUCUCAGAUUUUGUGUAAUUUUUAAACAGGGAUGGAGAAGGGAGUGAUUCUCUGAGGUUUUAGCCAUUGUCUUACAGGUUGCUGAAACAUGUAAUUUGGAGAUACGAGUUUAAAUUCGACUUCUGCACUGACUAGAAGCUCUAUCCCAGACCUAGGACAUUUUCUGGCAACCCAAAGGCGAUUGAUAGUACUGUACAAAAUAUUUCUUGAGCUCUGUGGAUACUUUUCCUUUUAUUGUGUAUAUAACACGGCAGACUAUGACAGAUUCCAGUUCCUUGUUUUGGUCUGUAGUAAGGUGUGAACCACGAAGGAAAGCAGCAGAAGAGCUACACUACCAGGUGUGAAAGAGCAUUGAAAGUGAAGGUUGAAAAAGCAAAUGGUGGAGCAGCUUUGCCGAGGUAAGAAAGCUGUAUGCAAAGCUCACAUUACUACUGAAGGAGGGGACCAGAACUCUGUUAGCACUCCCACGUGGGUCUUAAGAAACACGCUGUCUGUCCAUGUCAAUCCACUCCUCUCCAUGAGUAAUUUGGAGCAGACAGCUAAUUGAAUGCUCUCAUAUUGCCACGGCUCUUUCCCUAGGGGUGGAUGCACUCAGGAAGACUCUUAGUCUAAGUCAGAAUUAGUCUUUAAUAUCAGAAAGAACAAACAAAUGAACCCUCUGAGUUUGAUGCGUUUGAUGAAAAUAGUUGAUGUGCCAUUUCUGAAUUGAGCUGAGUGUGCUUCAGCCUCAUUGAGUCGAAGCAUAAGGGCCUGCUGGAGGAGCUAAUUAGAGUGAGAAGAAAACCAGCUGCUUUUCAGCCAAAUUAAGGGUGCCCUUCUUUCUCCACUCAGCUGCGGAUCCUGCAGCUUUCCCAGCAAUGAAUGGCAGUUUCAGGUGUGUAAAGCUGCCUUUUGUCUAAUUAAAGACCUGCACCACUCAUGGUUAAUGCUCUUGUUUAAUGACAGAGUUUGCCAGAAAAUGUAUCUUCCUGUUUUGGGCAGAAUUGAGCCAGAAGCCUUUAGGUUGCCUUAGGUCUGAAGCCUUUCAGAGGGCUGGCACAUAGUGUGUUUCUGCAGUGUUGAGAGCAGGAGACCUGGACCAGUAUGCAAUUGUAAAUAACCUCCAAAAAGUAAAUACACAGCUCACUCUGCAAGUAAUGCCUCCUGUUUAUUUCCAUGGGAACGGCAGCAGCUACGAAGAGCACAAUAACACUAAUUGAUAAAGCAAAUUCUCAGCAACAGAACGUGAUGGAAUGUUGGUGGGAAUGUUCAACAUCCUCUGCCAUCCCACCAACACAUAAUGGGCUGACGUAACAAGAUAGGAGGCAUUGCUUUCGGAGCAGCCUUCAUACAUUGGAAAGCAACGCACGCUGCAAAUGGCAGGGUUCUGUUCUGCAAAUUGCAGAGAUUUCUAUCGUGCUGUUUGAAAGUGACAUUCAAAGAAUUGCUCUCUUGGGGCUGGAAAAGAAGUUCUUCAUUACAGAAAGCAGGGCUGGCUAUGAUUAAAAAAAGAAAGUGUUCUCCUUGGGGGUUUUUUGUUUUAUUGAAGUGAAAAUUGAAGAGCUGGCAAUUUCCAGACUGUCCAACCAACAACGGCCUGAACGGUUUCAUGUGUAAGUUAACAAAUGGAACAUAUAGAAUGCAUCUACAUAAAUAUGUUACUUUGCCUCUUAAGAGACUGCAUCAAUGGCUGCUAUAUGCUCAAUCUUCAAUACAUCACUGAGAUAUACCAAAACCACGGUUACUGAAAUUCCCCUGUUUAUCACAGGGCAGUCACACUACAGAUGACCUUAAUGGUUCCUUCCAACUCAAAUGAUUUUAUGAUCCUAUGAGAUGUGAAACAUCCAUGUUUUGGCUGCUUCCAUGUGGGAACAGCUUUUAUAUCUCUCAGCAGGAAUUCUGUAGUUGUUCUGUGAUAGUUUGGCAGCAAUCUGUGCUUUCUUGGAACGACCUUUGGAAGAACAGUGCACUGGAAACCUUUCCAGUAUCACAAUCCCUACAGCCACCUACAGAAAGAACCCAUUUUUCCCCCUUGGAAGUGGCUCCUUGUAUCUCACCAGCUGAAGACCUCAGAGCAUGAUCUCAUGGACUUGCCCCAGGGCAGGUUUUGCUGCGGACUUCCUGCAGGAGCAGGGAUUAAUCUUCUAAUCUGGUUCUGACACAGAGGAAAGAGCUUCUGCCUUCACUGGCUUGAGAGCUGGACUGCCUCACUACGCUAAACAGAAACCAAAUCCUUCUUUAUAAUUAGUACUUCGGGAGGAAAUGGUAAGCUGCAGUAAGUUACAGUAUGCUGCAGAUGUGUGGUGAGGGCACUGGAGGAGGUGGGGAAUAGCAUUGGUUUCAAAGAACAGCAGGAAAAUGGAAAGCAAAGGGGAAAAAAAGGAGCAUUGUGUUUUUUUCAGCAUCCAUGUUUAUAUCAGGUGUAGAUAAAUCAGAUCCUCUUAAUGGAAAGUCAGAUCUUAAUUAGAAAUCUGCCACUUUCCUACCACGUUUGGCAAGCUGAAUUUCCUGUCCAAAAUUCUCACAUCUCCAUGCUGCCCUAGCCUAGCCCUGCUCCUCCAUGUGCACAAGUGUUUAAGCAGUGAAUAAAAGCCAGAAGAACCUCCUGUAAACGUGAGGCUUUGCAUGAUUUAAACGCUGCCUACUUUUCCCCAGACCAGCCCAACUUGCUUAGAAAUGGAUAGAUUUAAGUUGGAGGCUAAGGGAAAACUGAAGCUUGCAGAAACAGCACUGUGCUUGAUGUGCAGAGUUUUCCCACUGCUGUGUGACCAUUUGGCUCACAGCAGAUGUGCAAGUGAGUGAACCUUCUCAUAGAAUGGUGUAGGUUGAAAGGGACCUUAAAGACCAUCCUGUUCCAACCACCUUCCAUGGCCUGGGUACCCCCCCACCAGAUCACACUGCUCAGGGCCCCCAUCCGUGGCUUUGAGGAUGGAGCACCCACAGCUUCACUCAAGUGUUUGCUCUGAAUUCACAGAGUUCUCAGAAAUGUCAAUGCAUGGACCCCCUGCAAAGAAUUUCUCCUUCCGAGAGACUUCUUAAGAAGAGUAGCAGCAGAUUUAGCCUCAUAUUAAACCCAGACACCUUACAAAGGCAAAACUCACCACAGCUCAAGCUUUACCCCUUGUGAAAGGUUCUGUACAUCUUCCAAGUUAACUCACAGCUGGCUCUGGCAGUGGCUGAAGCAUGGGGCAAGGGUCUAAUACUGUAUUUUCAGGCACCAGAGACUUCACAGGAGGGAAUUUCACGGGUUAUUUCAGUGCCCACCACAGCCCCUGCCCGAUGUGCACAAGACCUAGGCCUGCUGUGGUCCCCUCAGGUGGUUUAAGCAGAUGGAUAGAUGUUAUUGUGUUGAAGAGCAUGGAGUUAAUCACAGCUGACAAAUCCUUCUUGGUAAAAAGCAUUAGGCUCUAAGACCCCACCUGGAGGGCUGUACCUAGCUCUGGAACCCAGUGUAAGGCUGUCAUGGAGCCGUUGGAGCAGGUCUGGAGGAGCUUUUUAGUGGCCUUUCCAACCUUACUGAUUCCAUGAGGCACCUUGAAAGAACCUUGAGCACAAGCUCUUGUACCUCUGGAAAACCACCUUAGGAAAAAAGACAUGGCUAUAAACGAGCAAGGACCUUCAGCUGCUAAGCCUUUAGGAAAUGUUACACUGCAGCAAGAGAUGCUACAGCUGUGUAGUCUUGACAGAAGUGAAUAACAUAAACCACUGUCACCUGGAUGGAUGGGGACAAAAAGCACCCACACCAUCCUGUGGUUCCUUCAAACCAGGCUCCAUAUUCCAGCACAUGUAGUCCAAGAUCUCCAUCUAUCUGCAAAGAAAGUCCAUGUUUCAUGCUGACAGAUUUAACUGCAUGGGUCAUGUUCUUGCAUCUCCAGGUCUUUGUCACUCACUGCCAUUUGGAAGCAGAGAUGUUUCUCCUCGAGGUCAUGAGCUUUGUGUGCAUUUGUCAGCUCACUGAAGCAAAACCUCUCGCUGAAGCAGGAAGGCAGCAGUGCUUUCUGCACUGUGAGAAGUACAAAAUAUUGUUGGCAGUUCUUUGUUUCGCAUUUCUUUUUGGGAGCUUUUUGCUUGUCUCUCAAAGAAACGUCAUCUUUCCUGGUCAGUCCUUUGAAACGCCACAUGGAUGGCUAAGUGCAGGAAGCAUCCAGUCUCAGAGCAUGCUUUGCGUGCUAAUCAGUGAAAGCACUGCUGAACCAUAUUAUGCUGGAACAUCAAAACAGGCCAUUAGGAAGCAGCUGGGAGAGACCUUAUUGAAACCACUGGCUGGCACAGGAGGCAGCUAUGAGUGGGAGACACAGCAGAGCAAUGCUGGGGCCUCGAGUUGGCAAUAUCCUCUGCUGAAGGGGUUCUAACUUCAGGAAUGCUGCUUUAAAAGCAUUUCAUUGAUUUUCAAUACAACAGAAGCCAUCUGAAUAAAAGAACUUUGGAAUGUUGAGACAAAUUUUAUAACAGCCUCCUCUUUGAUUUUGUGAAACUUCUGCAAAAAGAGCUUCGAAAAUAGCUUCUGAAGACCAUCGGUGCCAUGAAACCCACAGGCAAAGGGCUUCAUUGAAAGGCUGAAGUAGCAAAUAAACAGGUUGGAUUCCCAUAGCAAGGUGUUUCUCAAAAAAGAGCCUGAGCCUGGACACAUUUGGCAUUAGAGUAAAGAUUUCCUUGCAGGGUUUUGUUGGCACAGAUUCAGUCCCUGAUGCAGAUCUUGGUGCCCCUCUCUGGUUCUGUGAGCACAAAGGCAGGGCUCACAGUUCUUAACAGCAACAUCAGUUACAAAAUCAGAGCACUCAGAAGCUGGAAAGAGUUGAAGCUGCAUUCACUUUAACUGUUUCCUCAUCAUCGUAAUUACUUACAUGGCUUUUUUUGGACUAUAAAUAAAAGCUUUUUCUAUCUCUGCAGCUUCCUAAUUCCAGACACUGAACAUUCUUCUCUGUAUAUAUUGAAACAUGUAAUUAUUUUUUUCUUCUGAUGCAGAUGAAGUCCAGGUUUCUGUAAUUGGAAUACACAGAUCAUAAAACUCACCAGUGGGUUGAGUCAGUGGCAUGGAAAUAGUCAGUAUGCUGGUGUUAUGUGCAGCUGGACAUCCACCUUCCCAUGCCUCUGAACAGAUGUUGAGAAACUUGAGAGCAGGACAAGUUACCACUAGCCUCUCUCCAGGUCACGAUGAGUUAACACAACUGAAAGCAAAACAGUCAAAGGACUUCGAGCAUGAGAAGCAGGAAGAGGGUUUCCUGGCUUCAUUGCCUCCAGAAAGGCCAAUUUUGCACACCGUGAGUUGAUAAAUGAAUGCUCAGAGUCUUCAUGCAGCCUGUGCAAUGGAUAGACUGCUCUGCACACCCUCUCCAUGGGCACUGCUCUUCCCAAGUGCUGGCAACGCCAUUAUCGGGAAACAAAUGAGCUCUAUCUGAGAUAAAUUGCAUUUACACCAAUUACAGCUCAAUUGUUGACAGAUGGGAACACAGAAGGGAGAUGCGUCGAAUCAUUAAGAGGACAGGUGUAUAGAAAAGUGCCAGAUUAAUUGUUCCAGCCCAUUAAAUCAUUGACCUUUCCAGCCUACCCUCAGUGCUGAAUUCAGAGCUCUCAGGAUCCUUCCAGCUCACACACGACGACCACAUUUACAAGAAAAGCACACAGGGGUGCUUUUAAAACACAUGCUCCGGACCCAGACUCAUUAGCAGGCCUUCUUUCUCAUUAAAAGCUGUUUUCUUACUGGAGUUUGUUUUCUUGGCUUUUCCGUGCACUCACACGUUGCUCCAAGGAGCAGCUUUCUCCCCAAUGAACAGACUUGCUAUACAUCCAGAGAGGUUGCAAAGGGCGAGGGGAUGAAGGCAGACAGAGAUCAGUGCUGAAUGGAGGCUUUGGCUUUGAGUUGAGGCUUUGGCUCUGAUUUCCAAAUCCUGCUUUCCCUGAGAUUUUCAGUAAAUCCUGGGAGAGACAAAUAGCUAAAAACUGCUGAGAGCAAAUCAGCCAUGGGUGUCUAAUUCCCCUAAAAACACGUAGAAGCGUGCCUCCUGCUGAGAGCCAACACCAGAUCCACUUAUUCAAGAUGGCCUGGCUUGGAAAUGCUAAGGUUGGAAAAGACCUUCAAGAUCAUCAAGUCCAACCACAACCAAACCAAACUACCCCAACAACCUCUCCACUAAAUCAUGUCCCCGAGCACCACAUCCAAAUGGUUUUUAAACACAUUCAGGGCUGGUGACUCAACCACCUCCCUGGGGAGCCCAUUCCAGUGCUUAACAACAUUUCUGUAAAGUGUUUCCUGAUAUCCAACCUAAACUCACCCCGGUGCAACUUGAGGCCAUGAAAACUAAGGGGAUAAGAUUUCCAGCAGAGGGAAAUGAAUGGCCAUGAGGGAGAUGGGAGGAAGAGUAAACCCACCUCUCUUCUCAAUGCCAAGUGAGCAAAACGUAGAUGUUUUAUAGCAGAUUAUCCAUUAAAGCUGGAGGUGAAGGAAAGUCACCUGGGACAGAGGAAAGGAAAUUUU